rnacentral:rRNA from 1 species
UACGGAGGAUGCGAGCGUUAUCCGGAUUUAUUGGGUUUAAAGGGUGCGUAGGCGGAUUGAUAAGUCAGUGGUGAAACCCUGCAGCUUAACUGUAGACUUGCCAUUGAUACUGUUAGUCUUGAGUAUGGUCAAGGUAGGCGGAAUGUGUAAUGUAGCGGUGAAAUGCUUAGAUAUUACACAGAACACCGAUUGCGAAGGCAGCUUACUGGGCCAUUACUGACGCUGAUGCACGAAAGCGUGGGGAUCGAACAGG